rnacentral:rRNA from 1 species
AUUGAACGCUAGCGGGAUGCUUUACACAUGCAAGUCGAACGAGUGGCGGACGGGUGAGUAAUAUAUCGGAACGUUCCCAGUAGCGGGGGAUAACUACUGGAAACGGAACUAAUACCGCAUACUAUCGGAUGAACCCAUAUGGGAUUAGCUAGUUGGUGGGGUAAAGCCUCACCAAGGCAACGAUCCGUAGCUGGUUUGAGAGGACGACCAGCAACACUGGGACUGAGACCCGGCCCAGACUCCUACGGGAGGCAGCAGUGGGGAAUUUUGGACAAUGGGGGAAACCCUGAUCCAGCCAUCCCGCGUGUAGGAUGAAGGCCUUCGGGUUGUAAAGUACUUUUGGCAGAGAAGCGGUAUCUGCAGAAUAAGCACCGGCUAACUACGUGCCAGCAGCCGCGGUAAUUC